rnacentral:ncRNA from 1 species
GUAGAGUAAGCAUUGUGCGUUAAGUGGCAAGCGGAUGGGAAGUCGCCCUUGCACGAAAGACGAUCGGGUCUACGAUACAAUGCUGCGUCCGCUA